AAAAAUUUUAAAUGAUUAUACCUAAUGCAUAUAUAACGUUUGACAACUUUCUAACAACUAAUUCCUAACCCACGCGAUGCCGCCAUCUUGGAUCUGUCCGUAUUAACUUGUUUACUCAUACUUAUAUCUCAUAGAACUCACCAGAAUAUUCUUGGACGUUGUCGUUAUUUUUGAUUAUAUCAUUAAAUUAUAAGAAAGCGUGACUUUUAUAAAUAUUUAAACGUGCCUCAGUAUUUGAUUGCGAAGCAUGAGUCAUUGUUACGAAAAAUAGCAAAUAUUUGGUUGUAAAAUAACUUAUAAGGGAUUUCCAACAGGAACGAGUUAAAGUAACAAAAAUGGCCGCCCAGUUGUUCGAAACGAAGCUUUGUGUACAACAUACAUGAAACGAACGUUAUAAAUAAACGAAUUAAUUAAAAACUAUUUGUUUACACAACCCAUGCGUUUGUUAACAACAAAACCAUUUAGACUGUGUGAUAUUUUUAUAUUUUGAUGAAAGUAGGUUAUCAUAGAAACCUCUUUACUGAAAUGUGACAGAUGAAUAUAAAAUUUAGCGGGAAAAUAAGCAGAAGCAACGAUCAAGUAAUCAUUAAUUUGCACGUAAUGGCGGAUCCCGCCAGAAGUCACGUGAUCACUGUGACGUCACAGUACAACA